UACAGAGGUCCCAAGCGUUGUUCGGAUUCACUGGGCGUAAAGGGCGUGUAGGCGGUGCGGUAAGUCGGGCGUGAAAUCCCCGGGCUUAACCCGGGGCGGUCGUUCGAAACUGCCGUGCUAGAGUGCAGGAGAGGGAAGUGGAAUUCCCGGUGUAGCGGUGAAAUGCGCAGAUAUCAGGAGGAACACCGGUGGCGAAGGCGGGUCUCUGGGCCGUAACUGACGCUGAGGAGCGAAAGCGUGGGGAGCGAACAGG
rnacentral:rRNA from 1 species